rnacentral:lncRNA from 1 species
UGGUUGCAUUGGAACGUGGCAUCUUUCAUAUCGGGAUUGUUCUUGUGCUUCAAUGAUGGUAUCUACGACAUUUUGUAGUAGUAACAUUGCGGCCUUCUUUUCUGUUUCCUUAGCAAUUUUUCGUCGGCGUACCACAAAUCAUAGGACCUGAUCGCAUGCGAUCUUACAUGCAUGCUGAUAUUGGUCUUAUUAUUAUUACUAUUUAAUAUUAUUCAUUUUAUUUUAUUUAUUAUUACUAUUAUGUUUUUUAUUUGUUUCACCACAAGCCUUGGUGAUGGUUGGUCCGCCCCAUGGGGUUCAUGUUCGCCGCAAGCCUUGCUCUUCGCUCCUUUGAAGCUCGCCAUCAAAAUCGACAACACUGGUCGGUGAUAGGGGUGCUGGAUUGUUUGGCAUGCGCCUGCGGAGGCAUAGGCCCCGCUCUUGGUCGGUUGUGGGGGACAGUCGGAGUCGCAGUUCGGGAGGUGUGUUGUGUGAUGGCGAUGACUUCUGUGUGCAACCUCGGCACCAAUCUUCUUUCAUCAAAGUGUGUCAAGUGCGUACGGGUGGCCAGAUCGGUCAGUGUGGUCCCCUUAUGUUGUCAAUUUUGUAUGGCAUUGAGAGGUUUGUUACGGGAUUUUUUUUUCCUAAUUAACUAGGAAACUCUCGUUUUCUAUAUUAAUGGAUUGAGUUUUUCAGACUACAGUUCA